AGCGGCGGACGGGUGAGUAACGCGUGGGUAACCUGCCCUGUACACACGGAUAACAUACCGAAAGGUAUGCUAAUACGAGAUAAUAUGCUUUUAUCGCAUGGUAGAAGUAUCAAAGCUUUUGCGGUACAGGAUGGACCCGCGUCUGAUUAGCUAGUUGGUAAGGUGAUGGCUUACCAAGGCGACGAUCAGUAGCCGACCUGAGAGGGUGAUCGGCCACAUUGGAACUGAGACACGGUCCAAACUCCUACGGGAGGCAGCAGUGGGGAAUAUUGCACAAUGGGCGAAAGCCUGAUGCAGCAACGCCGCGUGAGCGAUGAAGGCCUUCGGGUCGUAAAGCUCUGUCCUCAAGGAAGAUAAUGACGGUACUUGAGGAGGAAGCCCCGGCUAACUACGUGCCAGCAGCCGCGGUAAUACGUAGGGGGCUAGCGUUAUCCGGAAUUACUGGGCGUAAAGGGUGCGUAGGUGGUUUCUUAAGUCAGAGGUGAAAGGCUACGGCUCAACCGUAGUAAGCCUUUGAAACUGGGAAACUUGAGUGCAGGAGAGGAGAGUGGAAUUCCUAGUGUAGCGGUGAAAUGCGUAGAUAUUAGGAGGAACACCAGUAGCGAAGGCGGCUUUCUGGACUGUAACUGACACUGAGGCACGAAAGCGUGGGGAGCAAACAGGAUUAGAUACCCUGGUAGUCCACGCCGUAAACGAUGAGUACUAAGGUGU
rnacentral:rRNA from 1 species